UUAUAUUUCCAAAGACCAGUAGACACUAAUAUUUUUCCUGUUACCUAAGCUACUGUAUUAACCUCCAAACUUCUUAAAUACUUGAAAAUGAGGCAUUUUUGAGCAAGAACUGAACUAUGCAUAUUGGGCUUCUUUCCACUUCAAUUGCUUAACGCAGCAGAAAGUUUGCAGCGUUUAGGAACAACCAGAGAUUGAGUUGCCCUUCUGUCCUAAGGCUCACUUGCUUUCAGCCUUUUGAUUUUAGUUAUUACAGAAGAAAAAGCUACACAGCUGCUGAAGAGGUCUUCAAUUCUUGCUUAAACCAUAAGAUACAACCCAAGAAUAUGGAGAGAAUUUCAAAGAACUUUUUCAACAACUGUAAGCCUGGACUGUACCUCAGCCACAACAGGAUGUCUGGGUGACUCUAGCCAAUGUCACGGGACAAGAUCACCUGUACUUAAGUAAGUACUGCUACUCCGCAGAACCCGUUCUCUACCUGCUUGUUUGGCACACCGUUGACAGCAGAAGAAUUAACAGCCUUAUGCAACACCACACUCGGCAGCAGACAAUCGGGACAAACAUUGGAGUGGUCCUUCUCGAGAUUACCAUCAGGUCGGUCUGUUUUGUUACCUCUGGAGCACAGAAGGUCAAGAAUGAAGAAUGAAACAUUUGAGCAAGCGGACUACAGUCCUGAUAGUUUACACAAUGUUUUAAGUCCCUUCACUCAUCAGUAAUAGAAAUCUUGCCAAGCCCAAUUACUCCUCCUACCCAAAGCUGAAUUAACUUCCCACUGUAACAGUAACAGUAACUUGCUUGCUUUGUCUUAAUACAAACUGAGGAAAAAUGAUUAUACAGAGUAACACAUCCUUACCUGCCUCUAGAAUUUCACUGUGGGCCAUUUACAGCUAGGAACGUAAAUAUGUAUUUCAAUAGCCCAAGAUUUUCAAACGCAAAUAUCUCAAUUUUUAAGUUACACAUAUAUUGUCAUUGGCCCUCUAGAUAUUCAAAGACAUUGAGCACAACUGUGGUCUUUAAAAGUUUUAACAUCUCUGGAAAUAAAGGAACAAAGAAUGGCCUAUACUAUCUAUAACUUUUGCAUCCUAGUUUGCUAAUCUGCCCCUGAGUAGAAAAGGACCUGAGAGAGGAGAACGGAUUUAUAUGAAGAACAUUCUGUAGAAACUGGAACCCAAAUUUAAACAUUGACUUUAAUCAGUGUGGCAGAGGCAGUGUGUCAGAGCAAUGCUGUGAAGAAAAGAAACCCUGUAAAAUGGAAAAGUGGACAGCAAAGAAGUAAAAACUUGUUAGCCAAGUCUCCAUGCUUGCAAUAUAGGAGGGUGCUAGAUUUGCCAAAAGUCUUGUGACUUCGAACAAAUGGCUAUUCUGCAUGUGCAGCUCACCUUGCACAUGGUCAGCUGUCCUGACAGCAGAUUCCCAGCUUUAUGCUCAUUGAUAGGUGAGCUCAGUGUAUGUAGAAGAAUAGCACAGAGAAACAGCCUUAUUCCCUGUCUCAUACUCAAACUGUCAAAUUCCAAUGCACAUGAUUGUCCCUCCCUGCACAGAGCUAAAAGAAUAAAUGGAAAUUAUGUCUUACUAA